rnacentral:tRNA from 1 species
GGGCAAGUAUGCGCAGCUGGCGAACGCAGCAGACUGUAAAUCUGUCACCCUUGCGGUAAACAUCGCAGGUUCGAUUCCUGCCUUGCCCACCA